rnacentral:sRNA from 1 species
GCACUGGCAAAAUCCAGUGUCGGGAUUGAGACCCCGAAACUUACUAGGCGCAAGUCGCCAGCAUCCUGCUGGUUUUUU